AUUGAACGCUGGCGGCAUGCCUUACACAUGCAAGUCGAACGGCAGCACGGGUGCUUGCACCUGGUGACGAGUGGCGAACGGGUGAGUAAUACAUCGGAACGUACCUUAUCGUGGGGGAUAACGCAGCGAAAGCUGUGCUAAUACCGCAUACGCCCUGAGGGGGAAAGCGGGGGAUCGAAAGACCUCGCGCGAUUAGAGCGGCCGAUGCCUGAUUAGCUUGUUGGUGGGGUAAAAGCCCACCAAGGCGACGAUCAGUAGCUGGUCUGAGAGGACGAUCAGCCACACUGGGACUGGGACCCGGCCCAGACUCCUACGGGAGGCAGCAGUGGGGAAUUAUGGACAAUGGGGGCAACCCUGAUCCAGCAAUGCCGCGUGAGUGAAGAAGGCCUUCGGGUUGUAAAGCUCUUUUGUCAGGGAAGAAACACCGGCUCUAACACAGUCCGGGAAUGACGGUACCUGAAGAAUAAGCACCGGCUAACUACGUGCCAGCAGCCGCCGUAA
rnacentral:rRNA from 1 species